GGAUUAUUUUUCGAAGGCCGCUGUCGCGAGACGGCGGCCUUUUUUCUUUGGGAAGAGGCCCCUACCCUCCUCGCGGCUCCCAUGACACGCCGGGGUUCGCGCGCGCCUGAGCCGGGUGUAUGAUGCCGGGCGCAACGUCGCAGCACCCCCCCUG
rnacentral:rRNA from 1 species